rnacentral:rRNA from 1 species
GAUGAACGCUGGCGGCGUGCCUAAUACAUGCAAGUCGAGCGAACAGAUAAGGAGCUUGCUCCUUUGACGUUAGCGGCGGACGGGUGAGUAACACGUGGGUAACCUACCUAUAAGACUGGGAUAACUUCGGGAAACCGGAGCUAAUACCGGAUAACAUUUGGAACCGCAUGGUUCUAAAGUGAAAGAUGGUUUUGCUAUCACUUAUAGAUGGACCCGCGCCGUAUUAGCUAGUUGGUAAGGUAACGGCUUACCAAGGCGACGAUACGUAGCCGACCUGAGAGGGUGAUCGGCCACACUGGAACUGAGACACGGUCCAGACUCCUACGGGAGGCAGCAGUAGGGAAUCUUCCGCAAUGGGCGAAAGCCUGACGGAGCAACGCCGCGUGAGUGAUGAAGGGUUUCGGCUCGUAAAACUCUGUUAUUAGGGAAGAACAAACGUGUAAGUAACUGUGCACGUCUUGACGGUACCUAAUCAGAAAGCCACGGCUAACUAAGUG